CAGAACGACGCUGGCGGCGUGCCUUACACAUGCAAGUCGAACGGCAGCGGACCUUCGGGUGCCGGCGAGUGGCGAACGGGUGAGUAAUAUAUCGGAACGUACCUUUCAGUGGGGGAUAACGUAGCGAAAGUUACGCUAAUACCGCAUAUUCUGUGAGCAGGGAAGCAGGGGAUCGCAAGACCUUGCGCUGAUUGAGCGGCCGAUAUCAGAUUAGCUAGUUGGUGAGGUAAAGGCUCACCAAGGCGACGAUCUGUAGCGGGUCUGAGAGGAUGAUCCGCCACACUGGAACUGAGACACGGUCCAGACUCCUACGGGAGGCAGCAGUGGGGAAUUUUGGACAAUGGGCGCAAGCCUGAUCCAGCCAUGCCGCGUGAGUGAAGAAGGCCUUCGGGUUGUAAAGCUCUUUCGGCCGGGAAGAAAUCGCACAGGUUAAUACCCUGUGUGGAUGACGGUACCGGAAUAAGAAGCACCGGCUAACUACGUG
rnacentral:rRNA from 1 species